UUGCCGUUCAUCUUCCGCAGGACGUUGGGCAGAGCCCCCACGCCAUUGGUGAGCUCGGCUGGCAGCGGGGGUGGCAGUGGGGGCACAGCAGCCGGCAGCUCCUUGACUGGGGAGGUGGCAGCCGUGGGCGCCUCGCCGGGGAUGAUCCGCAGGCAGCCGUCGGGGCAGUCCAUCCGCUUCUCCGGGGAGGCUUCCCAGUGGAUCUGCAAGGGGAAGAGAGACUGCUACUGCAUGACCCCCAUCACUGCAUGGUCCCCCUGUCACUGUAACCUCCAGCUUUCAUUAGAGCCAUCAGAAAUGAUAAAAUCCUUAUUUAUUUGUU